GCCGUAGAGAAAUUAUCCAUUCUAUUAUUUAUAUUUUCCAACAUUUUAUCAUUAGAUGCCAAUUUCUUAGAUAGGUUAUCUAUUAGCUUUCCUUGAUUAGACACUAACUCUCUCAGAGGUGGAAAAUUAUUAUUAUUAUUGUAAGAAUUGUUACCUUGAUAAUUGUUGAUAUUUGGGAGCGCAAUAAGGAAUUGAUCCGCAAGCGCACGGAUAUCGGUGAGCACUUCACCCGGGAGGUUAUCCAGAGUAUCGUAUUUAUUUUUUUACCACUAGGAGAAAGAGUGC
rnacentral:lncRNA from 1 species